UCUCAGCACCACCAUCUGUUGUGAGCACAAGCUUUCCUGGAUUCUCUCUUCCCUACCUUGUUUUCCAGUAGACUGUAAUCAUAGAAUCAUUUUGGUUGGAAAAGACCUGUAAGAUCAUUGAGUCCUUCUCUUCAAGUACUGCACAAAUUUCUGAAAUAUCACAGAGAGCUUGUGGAGGAUGUGGCUGAAGGACACUUCCAAAGUCUGGCUAGUACACUGCAUUUCCCGGGGGUGCUGCUGUCAGAUGUAGUUAAAUCAGUUCAGUUCUGUGGGUUGUAAGGAACUUUCUGCUCGAGUGAGAUGGUCAGGCUGAGCUCUCUAGUCUAAGUGAAAGAAACUUGCCCAAAACUGAAAACACAACCCAAACUUCAACCUCAUUGCCUUUCUAAGGCAAGAUAUGCUGCUUUGAUCUUGGCCUAAUAUGCAGGAGAUAUUUAGUCUUGUAUUGUCUCUGUCUUCACCUUUUCUUCGUGCCCUCUCUCUCCCCCUUCAGGGCACUACACCUCUCCUCAGGAUGAGAAAAAAAAUCAGAUGACAGGUAUAGGAUAUCCUACAGGAUAUUCAAGUUCUGUAUUGACAAAACAGUACAACAAAGUGAAUCUGCAUGCAAAAAAUAUCAGGAAGGCUGUUCUCGGAGAAGGGGAGAUGCUGGGAGUACAUGGAGGAAGCACCACCUAACUCUGGUCUCACACCCUUCCCCAGGCAGCAGCUGCUGCAGCCAGAAGUCUGCUCGAGGUGGCUUCCGUGAGGAGAUGCUGCUGGUCCUGUGGCUGGUCAAACACAAGAUGGAUUUCUCACUUCUGUAAGUAGGACCAGUGCCCUGAAGGCUUUUCUACAUAAACUGCCACCUGCAAAGGGCUGUUGCGUACCUGAUGCUACUUGAACAAUACUGCCAUGAAAUCUUCCUGAACGCAGCAUCUCUCAGGCAUAAAAUCCUGUCCGGUUACUCCUUCAGCUGACACCGAUACCGACUGAGCGCUUGCUUCAGGCUGCCUGCGUGCUUGUGAUGAAAAGCUUUAUCACCUCAGUGGUUCCUGCAGGCAGGAGAAAAAAAUGUAAGUUCUGGCCUGAGAACAAGCCUGAGAAAGUUCAGCUGAAAGGAGCUAAUUACCACCCUACAGAUGGUUUCUUUGCUAUACCAUGCCUCUCUGGAAUGGCCUGUGAACCCAGCACGAGGAGAAAGUGCUGAACUGAACUGAAGAUCUGUGACCUGGGUCUGCAGACAGAACAGCGCACACCCAACUGUGCACCCUCUCCUGUGCCACGUGACUCUCAAAUAUUUUGCUUACUUGGAGCAUUUUGUCUGUAUAUCUGCUUCUGGUGUUGCUGCUGUUUGUAAGCAGCCCUGGCAGAGGUGCCUGGGCUCUGCUGUGGUUGCGGUUAAUGUGGCUAAAUCAGCUAAACGGGAGUGAACUCAACCAUCUUCUCAUUAACGUGCUUUACUAUUAGCUGGGUGAUCGGUUGGAGACCAACUGAACUGUCUAAGGUGACAUGAAAUUCACAAGUUGCAAAAGAUGGAAACAAACUGUAAGGAAGAGGGAAGGCAGAGGCUUGGUGCCUGAUCAGCUGCGAGUUCCAGAUUGGUGCCUAACUUGCCAACACGAAGAUCACUGCAGGAUCAGGACUUUUAAAGGAAGCACUCCCUCUUAAUGGCAGCAUCAUUAGCAGUGCAGGUAUAUAGAUAUUUUAAAUUAAUAGUGCAACAGAUUGUUCCUGCUGCACUUAACAAGCAGUUCAGUAUAACAGCCACAAGCUAAAAUCUUCGCAAGUUUGUGAACUUCAAAGCAAACUUUGCUUUUUUCUGAAGAGUCUUAGAAACAACUAAGCAUAUUUUCUCCCACCUCGUCUUUAAAGAAAUUACAAAAGAAUAUAUACAGCAGGCCUGAAAUUCCUGCCAGUCCUUCAUCUCGAUUUUCUUGGCAUAUUGGUAAGGAAUCUGGACUCUGAAAUUUACUGUUAAUGAGUACCUUAUUUUAUGGAUGCGUUCUUGUUCUGUGCACUAAUGGUUAUCUGAACUGUUUGUGCUCUUAUGGAGAGCCAAAAAAGACACCUAGAAGAUAAACACUGAAAUAAACAGUGAAAUAUUU